rnacentral:tRNA from 1 species
GGAGAGGUGUCCGAGCGGUCGAAGGAGCACGCCUGGAAAGUGUGUGUACGGAAACGUACCGAGGGUUCGAAUCCCUCCCUCUCCGCCA